AUCUUGAAAACGGAAAAUAAAAACAGCAGACCUAUGAAGGUCGAAGGGGAAGAAAAGCUGUAUCGAUUGUUGAGAUCUGGCGACUUGUUUAAAUUUCAUCAGCCUCACUUCUAUGAACUCUCAGAGCUGAUUACCAACUCCUACCACUGUUAACCCUCAUCCAGGAACAAGCUUAUGUCUUUAACAUUCUGAGUGGGCUUCAGCAUCCUUGCAUAUGUUCAAUUCUUAAAAACCUGUUGAAAUAAAAGAUCAGGAGACAUAGGAAGGAUGCCAGAAGAGAGCGUGGCCUCACGUGUACCAGCUCUCUGCUCUCCUUUGCCUUGGGACGUUCCAUCCCUGGAAGUUUCCCUGCCCACAUCUUUGUAGAGAGUCCAUUCUCCAAGCUUCAGUGUGUCAUCUGUGAGGACCGUGACCCACCUGGUACAUCGCCUCAGGGCAUUCAUUUCAGGCUCCUUCUAAAUGGCCAAGUCUUCUGCCAGCCUAACAAGCAUAGCAAGAAGAUAUAGCCCCACAACCACUUUAUGCACAAAGUUAGAAGCAUAAAAUCUCAUGGAAGGAGACCGAUUAUCUACAGAAGAGGUUGUCUUGCCAUUUCUCUCAUGUUAGAGGUAAACCUCAGGUUCUCCUCCUGCCUUUUGCUAAGUAUAUGUCUUGAUGACAAGCCUUCUGCUGAUGAGCUGUGUUUCUGGACCGAUCAUGGUAGAAGUCAAUUAACGUGUCCCUCACUUGGGGUUUCUCAAGGCUGCACUGAUGAGGAAACUGAAACAGAAAAUCCAGAGUAAAUUCCACCAGGCCACACAGCAAGGUCUGAUAGAGCCAGGAGAGACUUUAUGAAAUCCAGACUCUCACACUAAUGCUCUAUCAGCUAGACCUCCAUGUGAGU
rnacentral:lncRNA from 1 species